rnacentral:rRNA from 1 species
AAACCGUUCAGGGGUAAACCUGAGAAACCCAAAAGAUCGAAUGGGGAGAUUCAUCGUCAACGGCGCUGGCUCCCGUUGGUGCGCGAUGCUCCGGAUGGGCCCUCGUGGUUCCAUGGUGAGGGCACGCCGCCUUCGGCUUGAAUGUUCCGGUGCCGUAGUCGUGCACUUCUCCCCUAGUAGAACGUCGCGACCCGUUGUGUGUCGGUCUACGGCCCGAGCGGGCGCCUGUCGCGUCGCCUCGCGCGCACGCGUCAGACCCUCGGUCGCCUGGCCGGCUGCACGACGGUACUCACACGGUAUCGGGCCGCAACCUAUCCAUUCUCGAAUGUGUGUGCGUCAGGCCCGCCGCAAGCUCGGUCAGUUCUUACCCGGUGGUACGGACCUGGUGCCGUCCCCGGGCCUGACCAGCUGUUAGCAGGCGGUGUCCUCGGACAGGCCAAGCUUCGAAUUACCGGUCGGCGACGCUACUGCUUUGGGUACUCUCAGGACCCGUCUUGAAACACGGACCAAGGAGUCUAACAUGUGCGCGAGUCAUUGGGAUGCAUAAACCUAAAGGCGAAAUGAAAGUGAAGGUCGUCCUUUGCGUCGACCGAGGGAGGAUGGGCCGCGUUACUAGGCGGCCCCGCACUCCCGGGGCGUCUCGUUCUCAUUGCGAGAAGAGGC